UGGGAACCGGUUCUCAACAAGAACCAGGUUUCGAUACCCAUCCCUAAAUAUAAUGGGUGUUAGUCUCUGGGUACUGUUACUGUGCUCGGCUGCUAGUGAUGCUAGCUCUUUGCCUGCCUGUCUGAUGCAGUGCUACAUGGAAAUUUGUGUCAGCUGGAGAAGGCAAUGACAAAUACAAAGAGUAGAGUUACAACUGUGCGGACUGUAGAGUGUGAAUGGAGAUAAGGCAACAUGCUGGAACCCUGAUAACAACAGUCAGAGAUCGUUGUCAACUUCUCUUGAACUUCGGACUCGGGCAUUCUCCCUUCAAGAUUUUCUGGUAGAGAGUAUUCCAAGCUCUGAAGCGGUAAAGCUGGUUCAGGACUCCAGGACUGAAAAAUGAAGCCAAUGAAAAGAAAAGGCAUGACAAUACUAGAGUCCCUCAAGCAUUUCUCUAUCCAUUCAGUUCAAUUCAAUUCAGCUAAUUUUUAUGUAUCGAGUGCCAAAUCACAACAAUAGUUGCCUCAAGGCACUUAUGGUGAUGUUUCAAAGCCAGGAGAUAUGAGGGUUGGAUUUCACUUUGAAGCUUUUUAUCCUCUU